rnacentral:rRNA from 1 species
GUCCACGCCGUAAACGAUGUCGACUAGCCGUUGGGAUCCUUGAGAUCUUAGUGGCGAAGCUAACGCGAUAAGUCGACCGCCUGGGGAGUACGGCCGCAAGGUUAAAACUCAAAUGAAUUGACGGGGGCCCGCACAAGCGGUGGAGCAUGUGGUUUAAUUCGAAGCAACGCGAAGAACCUUACCUGGCCUUGACAUGCUGAGAACUUUCCAGAGAUGGAUUGGUGCCUUCGGGAACUCAGACACAGGUGCUGCAUGGCUGUCGU